UGAUCACCUGGCUGAGGCAGUGCUUGUCACUGUAAAGUUACUCUCUUUUGCCCCUUUCCAUACUGUACUCUUUGGAAGGAAGUUACUAUGUGCAGCCCUCGAUUAAGGAGUGGGGAGUUAUGCUCCAUCUCCUUGAGGAUGAAGCGUCUGCCAAAAUUAUCUGGAGUUCAUCUGCACAGGAAGGAGAUGAAGGAUGUUCACUAAACUCACUGUGAUAGUCACUUCAUGAUGUUUAGAAACAGGAG